AGGGGGAUAACUACUGGAAACGGUANCUAAUACCGCAUAACGUCUUCGGACCNAAGUGGGGGACCUUCNGGCCUCACACCAUCGGAUGUGCCCAGAUGGGAUUAGCUAGUAGGUGGGGUAAUGGCUCACCUAGGCGACNAUCCCUAGCUGGUCUGAGAGGAUGACCAGCCACACUGGAACUGAGACACGGUCCANACUCCUACGGGAGGCAGCAGUGGGGAAUAUUGCACAAUGGGCGCAAGCCUGAUGCAGCCAUGCCGCGUGUAUGAAGAAGGCCUUCGGGUUGUAAAGUACUUUCAGCGGGGAGGAAGGCGAUAAGGUUAAUAUCCUUGUCGAUUGACGUUACCCGCAGAANAAGCACCGGCUAACUCCGUGCCAGCAGCCGCGGUAAUACGGAGGGUGCAAGCGUUAAUCGGAAUUACUGGGCGUAAAGCGCACGCAGGCGGUCUGUCAAGUCAGAUGUGAAAUCCCCGGGCUUAACCUGGGAACUGCAUUUGAAACUGGCAAGCUAGAGUCUUGUAGAGGGGGGUAGAAUUCCAGGUGUAGCGGUGAAAUGCGUA
rnacentral:rRNA from 1 species